AAGUCGUAACAAGGUUUCCGUAGGUGAACCUGCGGAAGGAUCAUUACAUUCAGUAGCUUGCUACUGUUAGGGGGGGUCUAUUAGUCUGUAUAGUAUCACUACUGAUGAGCAGCAUGACCUUCUGUCUAUACCCUUGUCUUUUGCGCACUCAUGUUUCCUCGGCGGCUUCAUACCCGCCGGUUGGAUCAUUCUAUAACCUGUUUAAUUUUCAAUCAGCGUCUGAAAAACCUAUAAUUACAA
rnacentral:misc_RNA from 1 species